rnacentral:misc_RNA from 1 species
GAUGAAGAACGUAGCGAAAUGCGAUAAGUAAUGUGAAUUGCAGAAUUCAGUGAAUCAUCGAAUCUUUGAACGCACAUUGCGCCCGCUAGUAUUCUGGCGGGCAUGCCUGUCCGAGCGUCAUUUCAACCCUCAAGCCCCCGGGCUUGGUGUUGGGGAUCGGCGAGCCUCCGCGCCCGCCGUCCCCUAAAUCUAGUGGCGGUCUCGCUGUAGCUUCCUCUGCGUAGUAGCAUACCUCGCACUGGGAAACAGCGCGGCCACGCCGUUAAACCCCCAACUUCUGAACGUUUGACCUCGGAUCAGGUAGGAAUACCCGCUGAACUUAAGCAUAUCAUAAGCGGAGGA